GAGAUGAAUGGGAGGUGUUGGUGCUGACGGGCGACACAGGGACUUGAGCCAGUGUCACCCUCUGGGUGUACUGAGAUGAGGGAGUCGCUGGACCAGUUGGUCUCAUCAAGGACUGCCCCAAGCAACUCUUCCUUCCAGGACAGGAGGAUACCUUUCAGGUUGAAAUAAGAAGCGUUGGAAAGAUGUGUAAGAUCAGGAUAGGACAUGCUGGGACCGAGUAGAGCUUACAGAGGGGUCAUUUCUGAGCUACAAAGUCAAGUGCAGGAACCCCUGGAACAGAAGGCACAGAAUAAGAAGGAGAUUGGAAGGUUACUGUCGUCACUGGGGAUCUUGAAAAUGCUGGCACCACGGCAACAGUGUCCCUUUACGACUAUGGAGAAACAAGAUGUGCGGGUCCUAUUAUUUUGGGCUCUGGGAAACACCAACUGUUUAACGCCAACAGUGCAGAUACCUUCAAGGUAAAAUCUCAUGCUGUAACUUUCUUACUAAGACAUAUUACAACAUGCGUUCCCUAAGAUGGAAUAGAGGACAUUUUCUUGGGGAACAUGAAAUCCUUUGUCCUAAGGGAGUUAGGAAAUAGAAUAAUGACAAGGAUAUAAGAUUUUUGUUUCUCCCCUACUUUUCAUUUGUAUAAAGCCAUAGAGUAUAGGAACUUAAGA
rnacentral:lncRNA from 1 species